GCUCAGAUUGAACGCUGGCGGCAGGCUUAACACAUGCAAGUCGAGCGGGGGAGAUUGCUUCGGUAAUUGACCUAGCGGCGGACGGGUGAGUAAUACUUAGGAAUCUGCCUAUUAAUGGGGGACAACAUCUCGAAAGGGAUGCUAAUACCGCAUACGCCCUACGGGGGAAAGCAGGGGAUCACUUGUGACCUUGCGUUAAUAGAUGAGCCUAAGUCGGAUUAGCUAGUUGGUGGGGUAAAGGCCUACCAAGGCGACGAUCUGUAGCGGGUCUGAGAGGAUGAUCCGCCACACUGGGACUGAGACACGGCCCAGACUCCUACGGGAGGCAGCAGUGGGGAAUAUUGGACAAUGGGGGGAACCCUGAUCCAGCCAUGCCGCGUGUGUGAAGAAGGCCUUAUGGUUGUAAAGCACUUUAAGCGAGGAGGAGGCUCCUGUAGUUAAUACCUACAGUGAGUGGACGUUACUCGCAGAAUAAGCACCGGCUAACUCUGUGCCAGCAGCCGCGGUAAUACAGAGGGUGCGAGCGUUAAUCGGAUUUACUGGGCGUAAAGCGUGCGUAGGCGGCUUUUUAAGUCGGAUGUGAAAUCCCCGAGCUUAACUUGGGAAUUGCAUUCGAUACUGGGAAGCUAGAGUAUGGGAGAGGAUGGUAGAAUUCCAGGUGUAGCGGUGAAAUGCGUAGAGAUCUGGAGGAAUACCGAUGGCGAAGGCAGCCAUCUGGCCUAAUACUGACGCUGAGGUACGAAAGCAUGGGGAGCAAACAGGAUUAGAUACCCUGGUAGUCCAUGCCGUAAACGAUGUCUACUAGCCGUUGGGGCCUUUGAGGCUUUAGUGGCGCAGCUAACGCGAUAAGUAGA
rnacentral:rRNA from 1 species